CAGUCGCCGCGGUAAUACGUAGGGUGCAAGCGUUAAUCGGAAUUACUGGGCGUAAAGCGUGCGCAGGCGGUGAUGUAAGACAGAUGUGAAAUCCCCGGGCUCAACCUGGGAACUGCAUUUGUGACUGGCAAGCUAGAGUAUGGCAGAGGGGGGUGGAAUUCCGCGUGUAGCGGUGAAAUGCGUAGAUAUCGGAAGGAACACCUGUGGCGAAAGCGGCUCACUGGACCAUUUCUGACGCUGAUGCACGAAAGCUAGGGGAGCAAACAGGAUUAGAUACCCGUGUAGUCCCUGUCUCUUAUAC
rnacentral:rRNA from 1 species